UGAGGUCUCACUAUGUUGCUCAGGCUAGUGUUGAACUCCUGGGCUCAUGCAGUCUUCCCGCCAUGGCCUACCAAAGUGCUGGGAUUACAAGCAUGGGCCACCGUGCCUGGCCCCCUGGCUUUUAGAAGCUACAUCCUAUCAUGGAGGACAGACAAGAUACAACUACUUACAGUUCUCUGUUAAGAGCAGGAGAACCUGAGGCAGCAGAGAGGUGACAGGAAGGAGGAAGUGACCAUGAACUCCUGAACAGUAUGCUUACUUCAUAUCCUCACCCCUCAGCACAAUGUCUGGCAUGUAAAAAGUUCCAUGCAUGUUAAUGGAGGGAGGGAAGAGGAAAGGAAUCAACAAAAUGCCCCUACCCCAUCCCCAUCUCUCUGCUAUUUCUUGUCAAACUAGUUACUCUAAAGUUGGUGUUUUCAAGCUCCUGGAAGAGAUAUCUUAGAGCAUAGAGUUGAUGAUUCAGUCCUCCCUAGCAUAUAGUACAGUAUACAACAAUCACAUUUGAUGGAGACAAGUCAUCGUUUGUCCUGUGUUUAACUGUGGUCCCAUGGCACCUGUUCAUAAACACUACACUCCCAGGAAGUCUACAGGAAAGAGACUUGCAGACAGGUUGCAUUUGCUGAACCACUAGCACUACACCAACCUAAUUCUUAAGUUCUGUAUUAUUAGACCAAGAGCUCUUCUACCAUCACAAAAGGAUUUAGCUAGAAUUUUGCUUCCCUCAGAACCUCAUUUGCCAUCCAGUUUCCCAUUUCUCUGCCAGCUUCAUCUGUGCAACUCAUCUUGGGUUACGUCUGGCAGAUGGAGAGAGGAAUCUCAUUUCAAGUCGCUGCUGUCUGCAUCCCAGAGCCCUCCCGGAGCAGCCUCUAUUUCACCAAGGACAGAAGAAAGGAGGGAUGGGUGUGAUCAGCCUCCCCAAGAGAUGACAGUGACUUGAGUAGUGAUUCCUCCCCAGAGGGGUGAGACGUCGUCACAACACUAUAAAGUAAUAACUGCCAUCACAUAACAUACAACAUGCAACCACUCUGGCAUGGGACAGCUGGGAAAUGCUCCACAGGGAAAAUGAUUUGAAGUUGGAGAUGAAGAAAGAGUCCAAUUCUUGCCACAUGGGAAAGUGAAAAAGGAGAAAAGAGCAUUCAAAGGCUCAGGGGAGAAAGCGUGCAGGCUUGUAUUUCUCUGGAGUUCACAGGACAAUGCUGAAAAUGUUGUGCUCUAAGAUCUGUGCUGAAAUAGUUCUCUACCUUUCAUCAAUAUGCAAAUUCAGAAUUCAGCCAGGAUCCUUAAAGAGCUGAUUGAUGGCUGCGUCAGCUCUGUGACAUCACCCUGACAGAUGUGGUCGUUUGCUGUCACCUUGUGACACACAUUCUCCUCUCUGUGUUGACAUAUCAUCGCCCACAUGACAGCCAGCCAUAAAGGUAAGGCAUUAUUUUGCCCUAAAACAAAUAUCAGGCUGGCGGUCUUAUGCUGAGAUUUAUCACCGUCUACAAAAUACUCAUAAAGUGACUGCCAAUUGAGGUGCAAUAAUUACAACUCCUCAGAAAUAUGCUAUUUUGAGAUUAAGGGCAGAGCACAAACAAGGUCUACCUUGAUGGAAGAAGGCAAGAACUUGCUGGAUGAUCUUUGUUCUUUCCUUUAGAGGAAUUAUUUUUAAAAAAAAAUACCAUAAAUUUAUUUACAGCAUUUUCUGUAAGGGUCAAGAGAUUUUCAGGCAAAAGCGCUAUUUCAGCAAACUGAACAUAAACCAGCCUUUCAUUUUCAGAAAGCCACCCCUGCAUGAUCUGAACAUUGUAAAGAACAUAUAUACAUCAGAACCACAGGCACAACAUAGAGAUACAGAACAUUUGGUAUUUCUACUUGAUCUGUGGAAAAGGGAUUCUUCCCACUGGUGUCAGCAACCAAAUCUGGAGGCCUCAGUAUGAGUAGUUGUUUUAGGAUUGCAAGAAUGCAUCCAUGCAUAUGUAUUUAUUUAUAAUUUGCCUCAUUCUUCAUGGAUUUGACAUAGCUUUCAGCAGGUACAUAUGUAACCAAAUAACAGCAAAACAUUGGUAGAAAUUAAAAAAUCCAGGCAGGGAAAAUAUUUUAAAUGAGAGUAGAAAUUCAAGACUACUAAAAUGAAAGACACAUACAUGUAUGCCAUCACUGAACUUCAAGUUUGACUCUGGGGCCCCAGGCACUCAAAAUGAAAAGAGAGACCCAGUUAGUCCCAUCCUUCUCAUCAGCAAAAAGGGAGAGGCAUACAGUGCCUCAGGAAGGCAAAGUUAUCCUGGCCCUGAAUUUUAAAAGGAAGUUCUCAAACAGAGCAUUCUUCGAACAACACUGAAAUGGGACUCCCCUGAAAACUUCUGUAAUAAAUGCAGUAACGACUCCAUAUGGUUUUCUUUCAUAGUAUCAUCCUUGACUUAAAAAAAAUAGCAUAGUGUAAGACGUAAAAGACCGACUCCAUGAAGGUGAUUCUUUAGGCAACCCACUGAGAUCAUUUUGCUCAGCGAUGGUAUUUGCUAGCUAACUGACAAGAAAUUCAAAAAAUAGUGGAUGGAUGACAUUUCCUCCAGUCAAUCUUCCAGAGUGUAGACCCUCAUCCAUUCAUUCACUCAUUUGUUCCUUCAUUUCUUGAUCUUCUACUAGAUAUUAGGAAUCAAGUUAGGUGCUAUGGAUCCAAAAUCAUACGAAGACAUAAUCCCAAUUCUUAACAACCUCAUCGUUUAGUAAACUUUGAUUUUCUUUUUAGUUUUAAAUUUUUUGUAGAGAUGGGAUUUUGCUAUGUUGCUCAGGCUGGUCUAGAACUCCUGGCCUCAAGUGAUCCUCUCACCUUGGCCUCCCAAAGUGCUGGGAUUACAGGCCCUUUGAUUUUCAAAGAUACUUUUUCCAUCAGGAAUCUUAUCUCCAUAAAUUUUUACUGCAACCCUUCAUGGCAACUUGAAAAGGAUGAUACAAUAUUUACCAUACUUUAAUAAAAGCAUUCAUUAUAUAAU
rnacentral:lncRNA from 1 species